rnacentral:rRNA from 1 species
UACGGGGGGGGGCAAGCGUUGUUCGGAAUUACUGGGCGUAAAGGGCUCGUAGGUGGCCAACUAAGUCAGACGUGAAAUCCCUCGGCUUAACCGGGGAACUGCGUCUGAUACUGGAUGGCUUGAGUUCGGGAGAGGGAUGCGGAAUUCCAGGUGUAGCGGUGAAAUGCGUAGAUAUCUGGAGGAACACCGGUGGCGAAGGCGGCAUCCUGGACCGACACUGACACUGAGGCGCGAAAGCUAGGGGAGCAAACGGG